UCCUCGGUAGCUCAGUUGGUAGAGCAAACGACUGUUAAUCGUUGGGUCGCAGGUUCGAGUCCUGCCCGGGGAGCCA
rnacentral:tRNA from 2 species